ACAAGAACAUGACUCUGAAGCAAAAAGCAGCGCAGGAGCUCCAUACAGAAGCUAAGCUAUUUUUGAUGGGAGCUAAGUUGCCUUCUACACGAUUUCGGCCGUGGCUUUAAAGUUUAAAGGGACUGGCAUAGCCUGGGCUUGUGGGCUAGGAAGCCAGGUGGCUCUUGGGCCCCAGAGGCUACUCGCUCCCGUACACUGAGCUACUGCAAGAACAUCACAACCAGCCAUUGCUGAAAUAGGAGUUGGUGUUAAUUUUGAAAAUAAUCCAUGCUGUAAUGUCAUGAACCAGGAAACUGGAAGCCUUUACUACCUCUUUAUGCAAAUAUUUGGCUGUAGCUCCAGCUAAAGGACUUGGAAGGAGUGGGUUUUAAAAAUCUGUUUCACUGUAGAGCUCUUUAACCAUGCUACCCCCCCCCCCCAUGGCCUGUUUGCCUGCCUCCUUGUUAUCCUGUUGUUAUCUCCCGAGGUAUGUUUACAAUAUCCUACUUGAUCUUAUCUUUCUAGUCAUGGGUUCACUUUCUACUUCACUCCAAUACAAAGAAAGUUACCUCUCUUAGAUUUCAAACAGCAUAAAAAACCGCAAUCUACAACUGAGAAGAUCACAUCAAGGCUGUUU